AUUGAACGCUGGCGGCAGGCCUAACACAUGCAAGUCGAGCGGAUGAAGGGAGCUUGCUCCUGGAUUCAGCGGCGGACGGGUGAGUAAUGCCUAGGAAUCUGCCUGGUAGUGGGGGAUAACGUCCGGAAACGGGCGCUAAUACCGCAUCCGUCCUGAGGGAGAAAGUGGGGGAUCUUCGGACCUCACGCUCUCAGAUGAGCCUAGGUCGGAUUAGCUAGUUGGUGGGGUAAAGGCCUACCAAGGCGACGAUCCGUAACUGGUCUGAGAGGAUGAUCAGUCACACUGGAACUGAGACACGGUCCAGACUCCUACGGGAGGCAGCAGUGGGGAAUAUUGGACAAUGGGCGAAAGCCUGAUCCAGCCAUGCCGCGUGUGUGAAGAAGGUCUUCGGAUUGUAAAGCACUUUAAGUUGGGAGGAAGGGCAGUAAGUUAAUACCUUGCUGUUUUGACGUUACCAACAGAAUAAGCACCGGCUAACUUCGUG
rnacentral:rRNA from 1 species